rnacentral:rRNA from 1 species
GAUGAACGCUGGCGGCGUGCCUAAUACAUGCAAGUCGAACGCGAGCACUUGUGCUCGAGUGGCGAACGGGUGAGUAAUACAUAAGUAACCUGCCCUAGACGGGGGGAUAACUAUUGGAAACGAUAGCUAAGACCGCAUAGGUACGGACACUGCAUGGUGACCGUAUUAAAAGUGCCUCAAAGCACUGGUAGAGGAUGGACUUAUGGCGCAUUAGCUGGUUGGCGGGGUAACGGCCCACCAAGGCGACGAUGCGUAGCCGACCUGAGAGGGUGACCGGCCACACUGGGACUGAGACACGGCCCAGACUCCUACGGGAGGCAGCAGUAGGGAAUUUUCGGCAAUGGGGGAAACCCUGACCGAGCAACGCCGCGUGAAGGAAGAAGGUUUUCGGAUUGUAAACUUCUGUUAUAAAGGAAGAACGGCGGCUACAGGAAAUGGUAGCCGAGUGACGGUACUUUAUUAGAAAGCCACGGCUAACUACGUGCCAGCAGCCGCGGUAAUACGUAGGUGGCAAGCGUUAUCCGGAAUUAUUGGGCGUAAAGAGGGAGCAGGCGGCAGCAAGGGUCUGUGGUGAAAGCCUGAAGCUUAACUUCAGUAAGCCAUAGAAACCAGGCAGCUAGAGUGCAGGAGAGGAUCGUGGAAUUCCAUGUGUAGCGGUGAAAUGCGUAGAUAUAUGGAGGAACACCAGUGGCGAAGGCGACGAUCUGGCCUGCAACUGACGCUCAGUCCCGAAAGCGUGGGGAGCAAAUAGGAUUAGAUACCCUAGUAGUCCACGCCGU